CCUCAGACCAUCGUAAGAGUCUAACCCAGCCUCCUCAGACCAUCGUAAGAAGUCUUAUUAAACUGUGUCCUCAUUGCAUUCUGACUUCAGCUGUAACUCGUGUAAUGUCUUUGCCGUAGGACUUUGACACCUGGAAAGAUUUACACAGACUCCAACCCUAGUAACUCCCACCACUAAAGACCUACAGUAGCUUGAGGCUGUCAGCUACUUAAAAAUGGAAUUUAUGACUCCAUAACUGUGUAAAAUUUAACUUGUGUGCUAUUCAUGUCACAAAAAAAGGAAUUUAUAUUAAAAUUGUUAAAAUAUUCUAAAACUCAGCGGCAACACAGCAGAAGAUAUUACAGUGUAAUAGUCUUUCUUUUAUAAGUCUGUGUGCGUGUGUGUGUGUGUGUGUGUGUGUGUGCCUGCGUAUGAUUGUACAGUAUUCACUGAAACCUUUACUCAUCUGUCAGUUUCUGUCCGUUGUGUACUCGUGUGUGGGAAAAUGUCAACUAGUUUUAAAGAAAAAAAAUAUAUUUUGUAAAGUUGAGCUGUUUCUGUAAUAAAGUGAAACUCUUGCAUUCCAA